rnacentral:rRNA from 1 species
GACGAACGCUGGCGGCGUGCCUAAUACAUGCAAGUUGAGCGCUGAAGGUUGGUACUUGUACCAACUGGAUGAGCAGCGAACGGGUGAGUAACGCGUGGGGAAUCUGCCUUUGAGCGGGGGACAACAUUUGGAAACGAAUGCUAAUACCGCAUAAAAACUUUAAACACAAGUUUUAAGUUUGAAAGAUGCAAUUGCAUCACUCAAAGAUGAUCCCGCGUUGUAUUAGCUAGUUGGUGAGGUAAAGGCUCAACAAGGCGAUGAUACAUAGCCGACCUGAGAGGGUGAUCGGCCACAUUGGGACUGAGACACGGCCCAAACUCCUACGGGAGGCAGCAGUAGGGAAUCUUCGGCAAUAGACGAAAGUCUGACCGAGCAACGCCGCGUGAGUGAAGAAGGGUUUCGGAUCGUAAAACUCUGUUGGUAGAGAGGAACGUUGGUGAGAGUGGAAAGCUCAUCAAGUGACGGUAACUACCCAGAAAGGGACGGCUAACUACGUG